rnacentral:rRNA from 1 species
GCAAGUCGAACGAACUCUUCGGAGUUAGUGGCGGACGGGUGAGUAACGCGUAGGAACCUACCAAGCAGUGGGGAAUAACAGCUGGAAACGGCUGCUAAUACCGCAUACGCCCUUCGGGGGAAAGAUUUAUCGCUGUUUGAGGGUCCUGCGUUCGAUUAGCUUGUUGGUGUGGUAACGGCGCACCAAGGCGACGAUCGAUAGCUGGUCUGAGAGGAUGAUC